rnacentral:rRNA from 1 species
UGGGGAAUUUUGGACAAUGGGCGAAAGCCUGAUCCAGCAAUGCCGCGUGUGUGAAGAAGGCCUUCGGGUUGUAAAGCACUUUUGUCCGGAAAGAAAUCCUUGGCUCUAAUACAGUCGGGGGAUGACGGUACCGGAAGAAUAAGCACCGGCUAACUACGUGCCAGCAGCCGCGGUAAUACGUAGGGUGCAAGCGUUAAUCGGAAUUACUGGGCGUAAAGCGUGCGCAGGCGGUUUGCUAAGACCGAUGUGAAAUCCCCGGGCUCAACCUGGGAACUGCAUUGGUGACUGGCAGGCUAGAGUAUGGCAGAGGGGGGUAGAAUUCCACGUGUAGCAGUGAAAUGCGUAGAGAUGUGGAGGAAUACCGAUGGCGAAGGCAGCCCCCUGGGCCAAUACUGACGCUCAUGCACGGAAGCGUGGGGAGCAAACAGGAUUAGAUACCCUGGUAGUCCACGCCCUAAACGAUGUCAACUAGUUGUUGGGGAUUCAUUUCCUUAGUAACGUAGCUAACGCGUGAAGUUGACCGCCUGGGGAGUACGGUCGCAAGAUU